ACAAGGAGGAGGAGAAAGAGAAGAAGGAAGAGUAAGAUACGAGCUUGACUAUAAGAUUAAAGCUUGUGAAAGAAACAAGUUAUUUUGGUUCUCUCUCAAUCAUUAUUUAGUAUCGCGUGUGCAAACUUGUUUGAGUUAUAAUUAUUUUCUUUAUUCCAUCAUCUACGUUUCUUUUUCUGGUUUUCAUAAAACAAGUCAAUAAAAAAAAAGUAACAAUGUACUCAAAAAAAAUUUGUCAAGUUUCAUCGUUAAUUUCAUUCCGAUUGAAAUUUAUAAUCUCUGUGUUAUUAAUUGUAAAUGUAAAAGCUUACACGAUACCAGAACCAUUAUUCGAAGUACUUGGAUCAAAAGGAUUACGUAUUUCUAUACAAGAUACACCAGGCUUGCAAUAUUUUACGUUUCAUGGAAAUUUAAAUAAACCAAUACGUUCGAGAGAUCCUGGCGAAUUAUUUGGUGAUGUAUUUCGAGCUAAAAAUGGACGAUGGACCUUAGAAAAGGGGAACGUUAUCUUACAAGAAGGAGAUAUUAUUAAUUAUUGGAUAUAUGUACAAGUUAAUAAUACAAAUUCUAUUAAAGAAAAUCAAAGAUAUGUGGUUCGCAGUAAAUCGAAUUUAGAAAAAUCUACAACUCCAGCGUCAGUCAUCGUCAGCUCAAAUACCGAAAAAGGCCAAUUGAUAUUCAGCGAAGAUUUUAAUAAUUUAAAUGAAUCACUUUGGUCACGCGAUAUAAAAAUGCCAUUAGGACCUGAUUACGAAUUUUGCAUUUAUCACAAUGACAAUCAUCCGAAGCUCGUUGAAAUCGAUGAUGGUAUUCUUCGUAUUAAACCAAUUAUAUUAGAAGAUUCGUACGGAGAAAAUAUAACUUCGUAUGGAACAUUACAACUUGCUGAUUGCACCAGCAAUAUCCCCCAGGAAUGUUCUCGAAAUGCUAUAUCUUACAACAUUUUGCCACCUGUUAUAUCAGCUAGAUUUAAUACAAAAAAUCGAUUUGCAUUCAAGUAUGGUAAAAUUGAAAUCCGUGCUAAAUUUCCUGAAGGUGAUUGGCUAUAUCCAGAAUUAUGGUUGGAACCACUUUACUCUCUCUAUGGCCCUAAUUAUGCUAGCGGUCGUGUUGUUCUUGGUUUUGCUCGUGGAAAUGAUAAUCUUGUCGAUGCCGAAGAUUUAGAGAAAGUUUACGACAGUAGAAAAUUGGAAUUUGGAUUGAAAUCAGGUUCCCCAACGAUCUAUGAAGAAAAUGUUCACAAAAUAGUGAAUCGUGAUUCUGAAUGGAACAAAGAUUUUCACGUAUAUACAACUAUAUGGGAUGCUAAUGGAUUUAAAUUUUUAGCAGAUGGUGAAGAAAUUGGUCGUUUACUUCCUACGGUAAACGGAUGGUUACAUAAUGAUAAUACUAAUAUUCGUGGUAUGACAAAAAUCGCUCCAUUUGAUCAAGAGUUCUAUAUCAGUAUAGGUGUAGGCGUCGGUGGUCUAAGAGUUUUCCCAGACAAAACGAUUAGUUCCGGUUAUAAAAAACCUUGGAAAAAUGUAGGCGCUAAGCCGAUGCUAGAGUUUUGGCACGCUAGAAAUCAAUGGUUACCAAGCUGGAGACGAGAUAACAGUAACAAAAGGGCUUUAGAAAUAGACUAUGUGAAAGUUUGGUCGUUGUAAUGAAAAGUAAACAAUAUAAUUGUUUAUUUAUAAGUACUUUAAAAACAUCAAUUUUUGAAUUUUCUAAGUGCAUAAGACUAUAAUGAAAAUACUAUAGCUGUGUUUAAAUAUUUAUAAAAUGAAUACAUAUUGCGCAGAUGUAUUGCUAGUACGGAAUUAAUUAAAAUGCACGUACCUGAAAGAAAUACAAUACGAUCGAUUUCAUCUGAUAUAGGAAAACAUGAUAUUAAUGAAACUUCCACAAUACAACGAAAGGAUAAACGGAUUAAAUCACACGAUGACGAUCGGCAACACUUUAUAUCUACAAAUUUCAAAGAUACACCUCUUAAAACUGUAAAUAUUCAGGCAGUAGAAAAAAAUAAACCUCUAAUAUUUCAAAAGAAAUAUCAGCUACCUGAACUUCAGCAUAAUGUACCUAACAAAGCACCUGAAAUAUCAAACAAUGUUAUUACCAUUAAAUCAUCGCUGGAAAAGGACAUUUUUUUUUCUGUCAACAAAAUGUAGCAUUAAUACAAUCGCUAAAAAUAAUUAGUUACACACAACACAACAUGGUGAUUAUGCUUAAAAAAAGUCAGUAUAAAAACAUAAUAUUUUAUAUACAUUUUGUAGACAUAACUCUAUGAAAAAAAUAGUUUAUGAUUUAUAAAUAAAUUAUUUAAGGCCAAUUUCAUUUAAUUUACUGUAUGUACUAUGGUAACAGAUUUUUAAUAAUUAUGUAAAAUUAAACAGUAUUCGGUGAUGUCUGUAUAGAUUCUGGUAAUUUCUGUAAUUCAACCUAUAAAAGAAUUUUCAUUAAGAAAAAAAAAGAAAUAAUAAAAUACCAAGAAUAAAAUAGAUAUCUAAACGAA